rnacentral:rRNA from 1 species
CGUAAGGUCCGAGCGUUGUCCGGAAUCAUUGGGCGUAAAGGGUACGUAGGCGGGUAAGCAAGUUAGAAGUGAAAUCCUAUAGCUCAACUAUAGUAAGCUUUUAAAACUGCUCAUCUUGAGGUAUGGAAGGGAAAGUGGAAUUCCUAGUGUAGCGGUGAAAUGCGCAGAUAUUAGGAGGAAUACCGGUGGCGAAGGCGACUUUCUGGCCAUAACCUAGACGCUGAGGUACGAAGACGUGGGUAGGCAAACAGGAUU